rnacentral:rRNA from 1 species
UACGAAGGGGGCUAGCGUUGUUCGGAAUUACUGGGCGUAAAGCGCACGUAGGCGGAUUGUUAAGUGAGGGGUGAAAUCCCUCGGCUCAACUGAGGAACUGCCUUUGAAACUGUCUGGCUUGAGGCCGGGAGAGGGUAGCGGAAUUCCCAGUGUAGCGGUGAAAUGCGUAGAUAUCAGGAGGAACACCAAUUGCGAAGGCAGCUCGCUGGGACGUUACUGACGCUGAGACGCGAAAGCGUGGGGAGCAAACAGG